UGUCACUCUUGUGACCAGUUUUAGACACAUUGCUGGAGCUGCCCACAUGGGCGCACCCGGUCAGCUCUCUCAGACCGGAGGGUAAUGUCUGUGUGGCUUUUCAACGAUAGUGACUGACAACUGAGGAACAUCAAGGGGCUGAAAAGUUACACCAUGGUGGCUUUAUUUCUGCUGGACAGGUCACCUGCAGUCUUCCAACACCCUGUGCUUCUCACCAGUAUACGCUGAUCGGACCAUGCUGGCUGGCCUGGAUUACAACCACCAUGUCCACAGACCAGCCAGAGAAAAGUUGAUGACACAAUUCAGUGGAGAAGGACUACAGUUACAUUGCAGACCUCCAGAGUGCCAUCCUCCUAAGGUUGUCUACUACUGAGGAGAUGCCUAGGAGCCAUCUCAGGUUAUCACUCUGACGGCUGACGUACUGCUGACGUACUGCGGUAAGCGUGUCGACUCAUUUCCGUUUCCGAUGCUUGUGUGUUGGUACCGUGUUGUGCUGCUC